rnacentral:rRNA from 1 species
CCCUUAGAUGUCCUGGGCCGCACGCGCGUUACACUGAUGCAUUCAACGAGCUUAUAACCUUGGCCGAGAGGCCUGGGCAAUCUUGUUAACGUGCAUCGUGAUAGGGAUAGAUUAAUGAAAUUAUUAAUCUUGAACGAGGAAUUCCUAGUAAACGCAGAUCAUCAAUCUGCAUUGAUUACGUCCCUGCCCUUUGUACACACCGCCCGUCGCACCUACCGAUUGGAUGGUCCGGUGAAGCCUCGGGAUUGUGGUUCUUGCCGCUUUAUUGUGGCGUGACCGCGAGAACUUGUCUAAACCUUAUCAUCUAGAGGAAGGUGAAGUCGUAACA